GCGAGCGUAGUACAAUGGCAGUAUACGACCUUCCCAAGGUUGAGACGCGGGUUCGAUUCCCGUCGCUCGCUCCA
rnacentral:tRNA from 1 species